AGUGAACGCUGGCGGUAUGCCUAACACAUGCAAGUCGAACGGCAGCACAUUAAUAGCUUGCUCUUACGGGUGGCGAGUGGCGGACGGGUGAUGAAUACAUCGGCAUCUACUUUUUCGUGGGGGAUAACGUCGGGAACCUUACGCUAAUACCGCAUACGACCUACGGGUGAAAGCAGGGGAUCUUCGGACCUUGCGCGAUUGAAUGAGCCGAUGUCGGAUUAGCUAGUUGGCGGGGUAAAGGCCCACCAAGGCGACGAUCCGUAGCUGGUCUGAGAGGAUGAUCAGCCACACUGGAAGUGAGACACGGUCCAGACUCCUACGGGAGGCAGCAGUGGGGACUAUUGGACAAUGGGCGCAAGCCUGCUCCAGCCAUACCGCGUGGGUGCAGAAGGCCUUCGGGUUGUAAAGCCCUUUUGUUGGGAAAGAAAAGCAGCAGGUUAAUACCCCGCUGUUCUGACGGUACCCAAAGAAUAAGCACCGGCUAACUUCGUG
rnacentral:rRNA from 1 species